UACAUUUUCUGGAUGCAGUUUUUGCGUUCUUAUUCGCUCUUUAGGGAAGAAAGUGUUGUAGAAGCAAUAACGUCUAAAGCUGACUUGGCCAUUCUAAACUUUAUCCUUGUGACUUAAUGCCAUGUUAAUUGUGUGGUCGUCAUGUGCUGUCGCCAUUUUCUGUGUCAAAAUUAUCAGGUACCACUUUUCGGUUAGAGUCAAAUUCUUUCCUCUCGAGGGGAGGGUCAGGAGAAUUGGCCAGAGUAGUUGAAUGGAGUUUAUUUUAGCUCUGCUUUUUCUUUUAUUCCUAUUUGAAUUUUUCUGAUGUAAAUGUAGGGUAACCAAUGAUUAACAUUCAGUAAAUGGUGUAGCAAUCUGGCAGAUAUUUACACCGGCAAAUAUGUUUUCCUCAAAUUAUCUUUUAUAGGUGGUUUGCAACCAAUCACUGGAAACACGGGUAACAAUGGUGAAAGGAACAAAUGCUGGUGGACAAACAAAAGAAGCUAAUGAGAUAUCUGUUGUUCACGUCUACCAACAUGGCGGCAGUGACGUAGCGUGCAAACCACCUACAGAUAGACAAUGAUUUGUUUGAAGAUUGCAGUAAUGGAAGAACCAUUAAUUUUGUGAUGUCUUCGGGAAUUGAAAGUUUCAAGCCGAUAUGUUGAUGUACUCAUUUCAGAAGCACAGCAAGAAUCUGGAGACAAAUAUUAUCAACCUUGGACAGAACGGGGCCGAUAGUCAAGAAGUAAAGCAAGAGACCAGAGAAAAAUAUCAACCUUGGACAGAACGCAAAAAUUUUUUGAAGCAUUUGUAAAAGCUGUCUACCUCGCGGUAACAUCUUGGAAUACCCAUGUGUAUUAAGACAGACGUUUGGUAACAUUAAACGCAUGCGUUUGAAAUAAAGGUUUGAACCAUAAAGUAGAUAACCCUUUCAAAGAUAUAAGAAAUGUGUAGGCUAGAGGAGGGUGUGGUGGGGGAGGCUGGACGGGGAAAAAAAACUUUCUCAAGUAAGGUAAUAUUACUGUAUUAUGAGAGUGUAAGAACAAUAGUGAUAUCACUAUUGAAAUAUUAAAAUAUAUAUUGUAGUACUGAACUGUAUUAAAAGAUGUUUGUACCACAGAGUAGGUGUCUUCUGUCAAGAGUUCUAAAACUGCCUAAGAGUGGCGGCUAAGGGGAGGGGUGGAAGACGGUUCUUUUUUAAGGUAGAUGAGUGUUAUACACUGUCCAAGUGCUUAAGUAAAUGAGUGCUAUAGAAAUGACGGUAUUAUAGAGGCGGGUGUGGUUGGGGAUGGUGGACGGAUCAACCCCAAUUUUUCAUUUUAUUUUCUGUAUAAGGGGUCGAUCCAAUUUUGCUUUCUUUCCAAGAUUGAAAUUUGUCUCUAGUCUUAUUAUUAAGGUGAUCGUGAUCCUUGGUAUCCAGCUUUGGGUGGUCGAAGAAACC